rnacentral:lncRNA from 1 species
UUUUACGUUUAGGUCCAAAAACGCUAAAGGACAAAUUGUUUUGCUCCUUUAAUGAAGUUUUUGCAUUAUUGAAAUUUUGGGUUCUAGUUGUAAUUACAUGAAGUAGUGGACUUUUGUGUUUUUACAAAGUGACCCCAAAAGUUUUGCAAUAUAGCCCAAAAGUUGAGGUUAAUUGCUUUAUAGCCCAAAAGGUUGUGGUUAUUGCAUGAUGGCCCAAAUUAGGUUGAGAACAAAAUUGUUUUGUCUCUUUAAAUGAGAAUUGGAUUUUCAUUUCAUUUUAGCUCCAUUUAAAUCAAUUUUAUGGAUACAAAAA